rnacentral:rRNA from 1 species
GAUCCUGGCUCAGAAUCAACGCUGGCGGCGUGCCUCAGACAUGCAAGUCGAACGAUUAAAGCUCUCUUCGGAGAGUGUAUAGAGUGGCGCACGGGUGAGUAACACGUAAGUAAUCUACCUUCGAGUGGGGAAUACCGUCCGGAAACGGACGCUAAUACCGCAUAAUGCAUUAGCAUCGCAAGAUGUCAUUGUUAAAGAUUUAUCGCUUGAAGAGGAGCUUGCGGCAGAUUAGCUAGUUGGUAAGGUAACGGCUUACCAAGGCUACGAUCUGUAACCGGUCUUAGAGGACGGUCGGUCACACUGACACUGAAUAACGGGUCAGACUCCUACGGGAGGCAGCAGUCGGGAAUUUUGGGCAAUGGGCGAAAGCCUGACCCAGCAACGCCGCGUGAAGGAUGAAGUAUUUCGGUAUGUAAACUUCGAAAGAAUGGGAAGAAUCAAUGACGGUACCAUUUAUAAGGUCCGGCUAACUACGUGCCAGCAGCCGCGGUAAUACGUAGGGACCAAGCGUUGUUCGGAUUUACUGGGCGUAAAGGGCGCGUAGGCGGCAAUUCAAGUCAGCUGUGAAAUCUCUGGGCUUAACCCAGAACGGCCAGCUGAUACUGCUUUGCUAGAGUGCAGAAGGGGCAAUCGGAAUUCUUGGUGUAGCGGUGAAAUGCGUAGAUAUCAAGAGGAACACCUGAGGUGAAG